GCAGUAUUUAAAGGGCCGGCCCAGGAACGCGGCCGGCCCCCAGGUGCCGCGGCCCACCGGGAAAUUUCCCGGUAUCCCGGUGGGCCAGUCCGGCCCUGGGUAGAGGUUACUCUGGGACGCCUUUCCUAAAGAGAUGGGUCUCAAGGCACUUCCUAAAAGAUGCAAGACCAGCGGAGAGUCUGAUGGUGGUAGGCAGGCCAUUCCAUAGGAAGAGAGCCGCCCGUGAGAAGUCCUGCAAGCGUGAGUUGGUCUUACGGGUGCGAACAAUGGACAGAAGGUGGUCACGGGAGAGCGAGAAGGCACAUACCCAUGGAGGGGCUAGAAUUGUUCAGUGCUUUAUAGGUAUGGGUUAGAACUUUGAAUUGACUCCUAAAGGAUACAGGAAGCCAAUGUAAGGACUGACAGAGGGGUGAGGUGUGAGAGAACCGACUAGAGAGGAAAACCAGUCUGGCGGCAGCGCUCAAUGCAUCAAAAAAUAGCAAAAUAUGAAUCUAAAAGUUUAUCCAGAAAUAUGAAAUCAAUUGAAAAGUUUAUUCAAAAAUAUUAAAUUGUGGUCUAAGCUGG